UGCGAACUCCUACGGGAGGCAGCAGUGGGGAAUUUUGGACAAUGGGGGCAACCCUGAUCCAGCAAUGCCGCGUGAGUGAAGAAGGCCUUCGGGUUGUAAAGCUAUUUUGUCAGGGAAGAAACGGUAGUAGCUAAUAUCUAUUACUAAUGACGGUACCUGAAGAAUAGGCACCGGCUAACUACGUGCCAGCAGCCGCGGUAAUACGUAGGGUGCAAGCGUUAAUCGGAAUUACUGGGCGUAAAGCGUGCGCGGGCGGUUGUGUAAGUCAGAUGUGAAAUCCCCGGGCUCAACCUGGGAAUUGCGUUUGAGACUGCACGGCUAGAGUGUGUCAGAGGGAAGUAGAAUUCCACGUGUAGCAGUGAAAUGCGUAGAUAUGUGGAGGAAUACCGAUGGCGAAGGCAGCACCCUGGGAUAACACUGACGCUCAUGCACGAAAGCGUGGGGAGCGAACAGGAUUAGAAACCCUAGUAGGCCAGAUG
rnacentral:rRNA from 1 species